CUGGCUCAGGAUGAACGCUGGCGGCGUGCCUAACACAUGCAAGUCGAACGAAGCACUUGUUACGAUCCCUUCGGGGUGACGACUUGUGACUGAGUGGCGGACGGGUGAGUAACGCGUGGGAAACCUGCCCUAUACCGGGGGAUAACAGUUGGAAACGACUGCUAAUACCGCAUAAGCGCACGAGAUGGCAUCAUCUAGUGUGAAAAACUCCGGUGGUAUAGGAUGGUCCCGCGUCUGAUUAGCUAGUUGGUGAGGUAACGGCCCACCAAGGCGACGAUCAGUAGCCGACCUGAGAGGGUGACCGGCCACAUUGGGACUGAGACACGGCCCAAACUCCUACGGGAGGCAGCAGUGGGGAAUAUUGCACAAUGGGCGAAAGCCUGAUGCAGCGAACCGCCGCGUGAGCGAUGAAGUAUUUCGGUAUGUAAAGCUCUAUCAGCAGGGAGGAACAAAUGACGGUACCUGACUAAGAAGCUCCGGCUAAAUACGUGCCAGCCGCCGC
rnacentral:rRNA from 1 species